CCUACGGGAGGCAGCAGUGGGGAAUUUUGGACAAUGGGCGAAAGCCUGAUCCAGCAAUGCCGCGUGAGUGAAGAAGGCCUUCGGGUUGUAAAGCUCUUUUGUCAGGGAAGAAACGGUGAGAGCUAAUAUCUUUUGCUAAUGACGGUACCUGAAGAAUAAGCACCGGCUAACUACGUGCCAGCAGCCGCGGUAAUACGUAGGGUGCAAGCGUUAAUCGGAAUUACUGGGCGUAAAGCGUGCGCAGGCGGUUUUGUAAGUCUGAUGUGAAAUCCCCGGGCUCAACCUGGGAAUUGCAUUGGAGACUGCAAGGCUAGAAUCUGGCAGAGGGGGGUAGAAUUCCACGUGUAGCAGUGAAAUGCGUAGAUAUGUGGAGGAACACCGAUGGCGAAGGCAGCCCCCUGGGUCAAGAUUGACGCUCAUGCACGAACGACGUGGGAGGACGAACGGAGUAGAUACCUACGGUAGUACCGACCGACCCGUAACCGACUAGUCUACUA
rnacentral:rRNA from 1 species